AUAGCAGAGAGCACGAGACAUACAACGAUUCAGAGAGGAGACGCAUUACCUCAGCUGCAACAGUGCAACAAGUGUUGCAGCAAUUACCACUGCCCUUUUUGCUUGGCCAGCAUGUUUAAGCCAGCCAAACUGGUCAAAUUAAAAAGUAAUCUUCAAAGCCACUUCAACAAGGCAGUUGUCCAUGGAGUAAGAUGACAACCAAAAUUGCUCCUGGCACGUGGAUGCUACUGAAAAACAUGGAUGUCCCCCAACAAAUUGGUGGUGUGGACUGUGGAGUCUUCAUGUUGAUGUAUGCUCUACAUCUUGUUUUGGGAGCACCCUUUGAUUUUACAUUUUGCGACUUUCCAAACAUACGGAUAUGGUGGACUCUUAUUCUUCUGGAGAACUUUGGGGUUUUCUCUGAAAGUAGAGAAACCCUCAAGAGGCCCUUCCAAGUGGAGAACAAGCUCACUUAGCAGCAGUGAGACAUCUGCUCAGGGGCCAGUGGAAGAGCCUCCUUUCCUUACAACGGAUGAAGAGGACAAGGAAAAGGACCUCAACAAUCUCCUGGAACAAUCAGAAGCUCCCAAAGAGCCCUUCACAUUUCAUUUUGUGUUCAGGGAUGACAUGGAGUUAUUUUUGCAGGAAUGUCAUGAAAAAAUGGGCCUAAGAGUGAAUUGUUCAUUUGAGGAAUUUUUAUUUAAUUAUUUGUUGUAUAAAGUUUGAUUGUUUCUUUUAAAAUUAUGUUGCUGUUUGUUUUAUUUUUUUAUAACAAUAUCUAGUUGUAUUGUAGUUAUAUUUUUAUUGAAAUAUUUUAGUUUUCAUAUAGAAAAGUGCAUGCUGCACAUGCUCUUGGCUUUGGAAUAAACGUUUAUUUUCAAUGUUGUGAUUAAAGUAUAUUUCAUAUUAAAUGCCCAUACGUUUCUUUAAGCAUUAUUUGUAACAUCAUGAACAGGAAAUAAUACUCACAUAAUACAAUGAAACGAAUAACAUUAUACAAUAAAAUUACACAAGAUUAAUGUUUUAAAAUGCUUAUUGUACUGUAUCAUUAUAACUUAUACAU